GUGGUGCUGGGGAUGACAUGAUCAAAGUUCACUAUAAAGAAACAUGACGUAUAUUUUUUACAAUAUCAAAGCAGCCAGACAAUAUCUAGUAAAAUGUCCUUGUGGUCCAUGCCAAGUAUUUCAACUGCAUCAUCGUUACUGAGUGUCAUAUAUGUGUUCUUUGCAUUCUACACAUUGAGGCAGGAAUAUUGACCUUCAAUUCUCAUAUGCAAGAAAAAGUUAAAUGUAACAUUGUGUGUUUUGUUUAGUUGGUAGGUUAAUGUGAGGUAAACCCUGGCAUGCUCUCAAGGUGUAGAAGUCAAUAAAACAUUAACUUUAAAUCCAUUUUGGCCCUUUUGCCCCUGGAUAAUACGGCUUGACGGGAAAAGGUUGUCUUGCUGGAACAAACAUAGCUAUGUCAAUAGAUAGUAAACAGACAGGUUUAUGUGAGGUUUAUGUCAGUACACAUUUGUUCAGCAUAUUUGGUGAUUCAUCAAUGACCUUACAAAUGGAGCUUAUCAUCAUUACAAUCAACAUUCAAAGUAUUUGCUACCUGUCUAAAUGUCUUUCUAUCUCUAAAUCUAUGCUCUUCAGAUUAGAAUUGUCUCUAUAUGGCUGACCAAAUGAUUUGCACUUUUAAAUUGGUUUUGAUUUGCUCAAUUAAUGAAUAGACUGAACCAAUGCAGUUCCUACAUUGAGCAUUUUCCUCAGUGUUUCCCCUCCCCGCAACGUAGGUUUGAUUAAAUUCUAGUAUUUGGGUCAGUCCCUCUGGACAGUGGUUCUCUUCAGUGCUCCCUGGGGGCUGGAACUCUGUAGACAAACAUUAACUUUGGGAUAGACACUCUAUAUUUAUCUUCUACUCCUUCCAUUUUUACUGCAUCUACCAUUUGAUCAACAUGAAAUCAUCUCUGACUCUGCUGUGUCUGGUGGUAUGGGUGAAUGUGGAUGCUUCAUCAGCUCAGACUGAGUAUUGUGGUAAGCCUGAGGGUGAAGGGAGGAGAAUGCUGCCGAUUCCUGAUCGAGAACGUUAUGAAAAUGGGGACCAAGUGGAGUAUGGAUGUCUUGCAACUUGUAAGAACGGAGAGUGGGAUAAAGACCAUCAAGGGCAAAGGUCAGUUUAAAGGGGCAAUCUGCAGUUGCUACACCCAUUGUUGGACUUCUAAAUGAAUUACAUGUACCAAAUGAUUCUUGAAGAACAUAACUUAUAAAUGACUCAUGAGCUCAGUUCAACUGUCGCACCUCAUCAUAACCCAAAAUAUAAGAUUGUUUUACUCCUUUGUUUGUAAAGAAAGUGGAUGUAAACAAACACUAUAUAGCCUCAAUAGAUGGUUCAAAGUAUAAUGUUGAUAUCAUGGAUGGUCUAUCCUUGCAUCUAUAGCUAUAGCUAUGAAUUUGAGAGUGGUAACAUUUCAUCCCUCUGCUUUUAACCAAAACAGGGGUGGGGAUGCUCUUUCUUCUUGUGUGUUUAAUGUCUAUGGCAUUACUAUAGUACUGUAAACAUUGAAGUGCUUAUUGCGUUUACUACAUUUCAGGGCUUGACAUUAACUUUAUUACCCACUUGUCUUUUGGAAAAGUAAGACAGAUUUUUGACUUGUGUGAAAGCUCAAGUCCAAAUUGUGUUGUAUGAUGCAAGAAGACACUUUACAAAAUUAAAUACAUUAGUAUCAUUAUUAUUACCAUACAGAGAAUGAGACAAAACUGUAGAAUACCAUCUGUCUAGAGCUGGGUAAUAUUAUUGAUAUUGUUGCUAGAUAGCAAUGUAAUUGAUCUAACAGUGAAUGUAAUGUCCAACAAAAACUGUCCGUUAGUAGACCUAUAUAGAGUAUAUAUUCACUACAAACAGCACGCUCCACUCCGUUCCACUUGUGCAUCAUCUCAAUUACAUUCUCUGUUUGUAAAGUGGUAGCAUUUCCUUAUUAUUUAAUGUUGAGAAUAUGUGCUAAACUCACAGAAAGCUGGAACUCCACUCGCUUUUAAAAUAAUUGUUUUAAAAACAGCUUUUCCCUCAAUUACAUAUUGAAUGUUGCUCUCUCUCCUGGAGCAACAUCCCCCUUGACGUUUCAUGCCUGUAAGAAACCUGUUUGCAGACAAAAUAAUUGCUAAAACUGAGCAAAUAACUCACUACGAAAACUACAGUGCAUUCGGAAAGUAUUCAUACCCGUUACAUUUUUCCACAUUUUGUUACGUUACAGCCUUAUUCUAAAAUGGUUUAAAUAAAUAAAUCUACACGCAAUACCGCACAAUGACAAAGUGAUAAGAGAUUUCUAGAAAUUUGGGAACAUUUGUUAAAAACAUAAAUACCUUACUUACAUAUGAGACUCAAAAUCAUUUUUCCAUUGAUCAUCCUUGAGAUGUUUCUACAACUUGAUUGGAGUCCACCUGUGGUAAAUUACAUUUAUUGUACAUGAUUUGGAAAGGCACACACCUUUCUAAAUAAGGUCCCACUGUUGACAGUGCAUGUCAGAGCAAAAACCAAGACGUGUGUCCGUAGAGAUCUGAGACAGGAUUGUGUCGAGGCACAGAUCUGGGGAAGGGUAUCAAAAAAUGUCUCGAACAUUGAAGCUCCCCAAGAAUACAGUAGCCUCCACAUUAUUAAGUGGGAGGAGUUUGGAAAAACCAAGACUCUUCUUAGAGCUGGCCGCCCGGCUAAACUGAGUAAUUGGGGGAGAACGGCCUUGGUCGGGGAGGUGACCAAGAACCAGAUGGUCAGUCUGACAGAGCUCCAAAGUUCAUCUGUGGAGAUGGGAGAACUUUCCAGAAGGACAAGGCACCUAAAGGACUUUCAGACCAUGAGAAACAAGAUUCUGUUGUCUGAUGAAACCAAGAUUGAACUCUUUGGACUGAAUACCAAGCGUCACAUCUUGAGGAAACCUGGCACUAUCCCUACGGUGAAGCAUAGGACAGCAGCAUCAAGCUGUGGGGAUGUUUUUCAGCGGCAGGGACUGGGAAACUAGUCAGGAUCGAAGUAAAGACAGAGAGACCUGAAAAUAGCUGUGCAGCGACAAGAAGAAUGAGAGAAACUCCCCAAAUACAGGUGUGCCAAGCUUGUAGCGUCCUACCCAAGAAAACUCGAUGCUGUAAUCGCUGCCAGAGGCGCUUCUACAAAGUUCUGAGUAAAGGGUCUGAAUAAUAAUGUAAUUGUGAUACAUAUGUUUCUUUUUUAAAUACAUUUUCAAACAUGUCUAAAAAACAGUUUUUGCUUUGUAAUUAUGGGGUAUUGUGUGUAGAUUGAUGAGGGA